rfam:Oryza rufipogon genomic scaffold, Scaffold_W1943_67006
GGAUGCGAUCAUACCAGCACUAAAGCACCGGAUCCCAUCAGAACUCCGAAGUUAAGCGUGCUUGGGCGAGAGUAGUACUGGCAAGGGUGACUUGGGCGAGAGCUGGGGAGAAUCGGAUGUAACAUUUU